UGUAAAAAUCCUGAUUGGAGUAUCACUGUAAAUAAUUAUACAUGUUAAAAAGAAGCCCUUGACUCCAUUUGGCUUAAAUGUUGAUUUUGAUCUGAGUUGUUUUCUGUAAAUUUAUCUUGGAUAGUAAUCUUUAUUUAUAUUUAUAUUUUGUUUGUAUAGAUUAUUUUUCAUGUUGGAGUCUAAUUGUUAAUUAUUGAAUGAUUUGGAUUAUAUUAUGUUCAGCUGUGUAUAAUUAUCAUCAUUAUUUAUACUGGUCUCCAUGUUUAUGAAGCUAUACCUUGAAAAAGGCUACUAGCCGAAACGUUGGUUAAUAAUUGUGCUUAAGUGAGUGUGCAGUUGUUCUCCAAUUUAUUUAAAAAGAAGCCUUUUAUCAUGCAGAUAAAAACAGAGAUUAAAAAAGUCCCUCUAAACAACUCGUUCUCAUCAAUCUGCCUAUAAAUAACACGGCUUUACACUUUCCAAUUGCGUAUAAUGCAUACGCCAAAUGCCAAUUUUGCGUGCAUAUGAUACGCCAAUCCUUCCCACCAACUUCGGUGGAGAGCAGAUGCGUCCGAAUACCACGCAGCAUCUUCAGAGGCAGGGGACCUCACCAGCGAGGCUCGGUUCGCCCGGGUCACCUGAUGCGCGUGCAAACAGGUAAGUAAGGGCAAAAAUCUUUUCCUUUUCAAUGAGAUCAUUAUUUUAAUUAAUUCAGUCUUUCUGCGUUGCAUGCGGUCAUGUGUUACAAUGGAAGCGUAUGCAUUCAAAUGAGUUGUUAGUAGAACAGUGGGCUGCUCAGUUAGCACAGCUGGUAACCUGCCAUUACAUUAGCCUAAGCUAACUUCUAACUGUUGCAGUUUGAAAUAAAUAAAUAAAUAAAUAAAGCUGUUUUAAAUCAUGUUGUGACAUGGGUCUUCAGCUUUUAGACGUGGUUGAUGACAGCUCUACAAAUCAGCCAACCCAGUAUUGCGUGAUAAGCGCGUGACCAUGCAAAAAGUCCACACAUUUACCAUAUUUUUACCAUCGUAACUAUGUUUACUGUCUACUCUUUGUAUUUAAAGAACAGUAACACCGCUUCUACCAUGUUUUUACUGCAUAUUUGUAGUUAAAGCACAGUAACACAACACUUAAAAUGGUUUUACCACAGUAACCAUAGUUUUACUGUGGUAUUUGUAGUUAAAGCAGUAAUUGUACUGAAGUAACUGUAAUUCAAUAUUUUUUUUCUGUCUUGCAGUUGCGUCAGAUCACAUACUCCAGCAGCUCUUUUAAGAAGUCAUCUCUUGUAAAAGCCAUCACUUGUUCCUAUUUUUCCAAACUAUAAUCCAUAAUUCAUUUACACAUAGUUUUGCUUUCUCUCUCUCUCUCUUUCUGUGCAUCGUGACAUUUUUAAAUCUCAUAAUUUUGACCAAUUCUUUCAGAAAGCUGCUAGAAUGAACAGGGAACUUGAACUCGAAGCUCCUAAUGCUGAUCUUGAAGAAGCUGCCAAGGAGGCUGAACAAGUCCUUCAAUGAUUCAACUCUUCACACUGAAAGGGAAGACCAAAGGGAGGCCUGCCUUUGGAUGUGAUUUUGGCCGUAUUGUGCGUUUACGGAGAAGACCAAAAGCUGCAAAGGCAAAUGCUGAAGACCAAAAACGCAAAGAAAAUCAGUCACAGCAAGCCGGUCAAACCAGUCCUGAUGAAUGAGGCAUGAACAUGGCCUACUUGUGCCCAAACAGAAAAGACAGAGAGAUGAAAAGUUGCACAUUUCCAUUGUGUGGGAUUUGGGCAGGAAAUGACUGAAUAUGGAGGAUGAAGCCAGUUGAUGAAGAUGUCAAUUCAAUGGCCACCAAGUGCUGCACUGCUGCCUGAACCCAUCAGAUAUCUGCUGUGAAGACUGCAUUCACGAACAGCUCUACUGUGACAGUGCAGAUGUUACGGCCCAUAAAAGUAAACUUCACAACUGAACAACUGCAAGAUAGCGGUGGAGGGAUUCUUUUGGCCCAUACCUCCAACAACCUCCAACAAGAAUCAAUGGUAAGUCCAGUGCAACAAUUAUGCACUGCACUCUAUCACUUACAAUGACUGGACGCUGACUCACUAUUAUUCUGCACCCUGACAUUCUGUUUGCACUAAUUCAUACCGUACUGCACUGCAAAGGUAUAUGUGUACUGUGAUUAUUGUGUUUAAUCAGAAUAAUCAAUUGUGUUAUUGUUUUCAUUUCAUGCUCUCUGUAUAGUAUAAUAUUUACCAUAUGUUGUUCUCUAUCUGUAUUGAGUCCCUUAUAUGUGUGUGUUGCAUAUAUAUUCAAUACUUUUUUUUUUCUUUAUCAACUUUUUGUUGUUUUUAUAUAUUCAAUACUUUUCAUCCAUAAUGUCAUGCUGCAGUUUGCACAAAAAACU